rnacentral:rRNA from 1 species
UACGUAGGGUGCAAGCGUUAAUCGGAAUUACUGGGCGUAAAGCGUGCGCAGGCGGUUGUGCAAGACGGAUGUGAAACUCCCCGGGCUUAACCUGGGAAUUGCAUUUGUGACUGCACGGCUAGAGUGUGUCAGAGGGGGGUAGAAUUCCACGUGUAGCAGUGAAAUGCGUAGAGAUGUGGAGGAAUACCGAUGGCGAAGGCAGCCCCCUGGGAUAACACUGACGCUCAUGCACGAAAGCGUGGGGAGCAAACAGG